CAUCCGGUCGAUCCUGCCGGAGCGCGACGCUCUCCCCAAGGACGAAGCCAUGCAUGCCCGCUCACCCGGGACGCGGCGGACGGCUCAGGACAACGGUUGCACCCCCCGCGGCGGUCCCUGCUAGCCGGACACCGCUGGCAACCCGGCGCCAAGACGUGCGCGCAAGGGCGGGCGCCCGCGGGCGAGCAGCGUGACGCAGCGACGGCCCGCCCGGGCUUCCGGGGCAUCACCCGGUCGGCGCGGUCGCGGCGCGCCGAGGGCCCGACGCCUGGCGGAGAAUCAGGGUUCGACUCCGGAGAGCGGGCCUGCGAGACGGCCCGCACAUCCAAGGACGGCAGCAGGCGCGGAACUUGCCCAAUGCGCGGCGCGCGAGGCAGCGACGGGGAGCGCGCGAGCGAGGCGGGCCCACAGCCCCCGCCGCGGAGCCGAGGGCAAGGUCUGGUGCCAGCAGCCGCGGUAAUUCCAGCUCGGCGAGCGUCGCGCGGCGCUGCUGCAGUUGAAACGCCCGUAGUUGGCCCCCCGCCGCCACGAGGAAACGGGAGCGCUCCAGGCAGGCCCGUUGGACCCGCCGCGUGGGACCGCGCAGCGGGCCGGCGCGCCGCGGCAGCCCCGAGGAGAGCGGGCGGGGGCACCGGUAC
rnacentral:rRNA from 1 species